CAGUCGCCGCGGUAAAACGAAGGGUGCAAGCGUUACUCGGAAUUACUGGGCGUAAAGCGUGCGUAGGUGGUGGUUUAAGUCCGUUGUGAAAGCCCUGGGCUCAACCUGGGAAUUGCAGUGGAUACUGGCUCGCUAGAGUGUGUCAGAGGAUGGUGAAAUUCCCGGAGUAGCGGUGAAAUGCGCAGAUACCGGGAGGAACGCCGAUGGCGAAGGCAGCCACCUGGUCCACUUCUGACGCUGAGGCGCGAAAGCGUGGGGAGCAAACCGGAUUAGAUACCCCCGUAGUCCCUGUCUCUUAUAC
rnacentral:rRNA from 1 species